rnacentral:tRNA from 2 species
GGAGAGGUGGCAGAGUGGCCGAUUGCACCGGUCUUGAAAACCGGCGUGCCGAGAGGUACCGGGGGUUCGAAUCCCCCCCUCUCCG